GAAUUCAAAGAGAAGGGAAAUAGGAAACGAGUUUUCGGAAACACAACCAAAAUCAACUGUGCCAGAGAGAAAUUUCCAACUAAAAAAGAGGGUCUGAUUCUCGAAUUCUUUAACUAAAUCAAUCAAACGAUUCCAUGAAGCUCCGGUCUUUACUUUACAUUCAGACCUCGGUAACUCAGAGUUUCCCUAUAAAGAAUUGGAGAAGAAGUGAGGGCUUGAAUUCGGCGCUUCGAGAAAACAAAUUUUGGAAAACGAAAAAUGAUUCGAGAGGAGGGGGGAAAUUCAAUUUAAAGACACUUUAAU
rnacentral:misc_RNA from 1 species